rnacentral:rRNA from 2 species
GGACUACUGGGGUAUCUAAUCCCGUUCGCUCCCCACGCUUUCGUGCCUCAGUGUCAGAACCUGCCCAGUCACCCGUCUUCACCACAGGCAUUCCAGACGAUAUCUACGCAUUUCACCGCUCCACCGUCUGUUCUAGUGACCCCUACAGGCCUCAAGUCCGCCAGUAUCAGAAGCAGUUCCCGGGUUGAGCCCGGGGAUUUCACAACUGACUUAACGGACCACCUACGCACCCUUUAAACCCAGUGAAUCUCAGUAACGCUCGGGACCUCUGUAUUACCGCGGCUGCUGGCAC